rnacentral:rRNA from 1 species
CCCCACUGCCCCCGUACCUGCACCCACAUCUCCUCUCUGCUCUCCCGCGCCCUAGGGUUAGCCACCGCCGCCCUUAAUCCGGCGAGCUCCGGUGACCAUGGUCGGCGUGCAGCAUGCUACCGAGCUCACCACGCUCCGUUGCGUCGAUUCCUCCGGCCAGAUUCGUCCCUCCCCCCUCGAACGCUGGCGCCCAACCCAUCCCUCCGCGACUAGGGUUUGGUGCGCGGCCUCGUCUCUGCCACCGGCGUGCCUCUGGCGGUCCUCUACGCCUCAUCGCAUGGCUCCUCACGCGGCUGCGCCUGCUGGACGCUGCUUCUCCACCAAAAGGCAGUGGCAGAGGAGGGCCUUAUCCACCACCACGCAACGGCAGCCAAGGUCCUCCUCCCCCAUCUCGCCUCUCUCCCUCUCUCAGCCCCCUGUUUCUUUCGAUUUGGGAAGAAAAUUUCCUUUUUCCCUUAUGCAAUUUCUGAUUUGACCGGGUUUGUUUUUAGGGGCAUUAAUUUGGUGCUUUCUGUGUCCAGAGAAAAGUAGUAGAAGGGGAUGAGGAAGGAGGAGAAAGACCAGAAGAAGGGCAAGGGAGGUGGGGCGAUCUGCAUGUCCAUGGAGCAGUAGGACGACGACGAGAGGACGAGUACCUCGACGGCGACGACAACUAGGAGGAUGAACCCACCCACAAGGGUGCCGAUGCUGGCCAUCAGAACGACGACUCUUCGUCCUGCACCACCUCACGCUGUGGCGGCUACAUGUAAUUUUUUUGAGAUUGCCUAUGUUUUAAUCCUAUGGAUCCGCUGCAUGCUUGGUACUAGCAAUCUGCCUUUCAAGUAGAUCCAAUCAACAUCCAAGUUUCUGAAAAUUCAGUUUAGAAUUCUAUGCAAUUCCAUCAGUGGAGAGACAGAGAGAGAAAGGGGGUCCAUGGUCUAAACCUACACAUCAUCUGCAAUGCAAUCGAGAGAGAGGGAUAGAGAGGCAUCAGCUGAGUGUGGAUGAAUUUCCUAACCCUAAUAGGCAAUGCCAAUUUAUUUCUUGAGCCACAUGCUUCCUGGUAGGUAAACUCAAGAAGGUUCCGUUAGUGUUGGUAGUCUGUACUUGUGUUAUUCAAGAGGUUGUAUUAUUUUGAGAAGGCAAGAGGCAAUAUUUACAGUAUGUUUCAUACAUCCUACAAUAUGUAUAGCUUCCCAUCUCGAUUAUUUCCAGGAUUGCGAUCCUUUUGACAUAUUUAAUUUUCCUUUAAUCAUUGAGACUGGGCAUGGGUUUGAGCUCUCUGUUUUGUGCACUGGUUUUAGCUCAUUUACGCUGCCUAAAUUCUGCUUUACUUCCGAACGCAACACACUAAUUAGUGCAUGUACAGGGUUAGUGAAGGAAAGUUUGCAGUUGCAGCCGUCACUCUAGAUGAUUAUCUUUCGAUGCAAAGUACUGAAAUGAAAAGUUGGUGACUUGCUUUCUAAAAUAUGAAAGCAUUAGUUUCUUGUUCUAUUCAUUUCAUCAUAGAUUUGGUAGCACAAAAAUGGCAUACUUAGAUAGGUUAACUCUAAAAUAACACAAAUAAUGAAUAAGAUGGAAAAACAAGGAAGAGGAGGAAGAGAAGGAAUAGGAAGAGCUCUUCUUCUUCUUCUUCUUCUUCUAGUCUUCUUCUUCUUCUAAUUUCUUACUCCCAUUUUUGCAGGUUUGGUUCACUUCAUGGAAGGGCAGAAUGCUACUAUUUAGACGUUAGAUGUUUGAUGCAUUGGAUGUUUGUGAAACUAUGUAUAUAUGAAUUGGAUGUAUGAUGUUUGAUGUUUCAUGACGAUGGUGAAAUUAUGUUUGAUGUAUGAUGUUUGAAAC